rnacentral:snRNA from 1 species
AUCGCUUCUCGGCGUUUUGGCUAUGAUCAAAGUUUAGUUUCUGUUCUUAUCGAAUAACCUUCGAUAGAGAUUCGAUUGAAUCUCGUUAAGGUUAUUUCAUUUUUGAGACCGGAUGAAGUAGUGGGCUUGCUCGCUCUUCAUCACGGGUCGGCCAGCAGCGU